GGUGGGCACUCAAUAAAUGGUCCCUAUAAAUAAAGUCACCAGAAUGUGAAAACCCUUGAGUGAGCCCCUUAGAGUAUAAGAUGCAACUUUUUUUUUUUUGCUUGUUUGUUCGUUUUUGUUUUAAACUGGGGAUUGAACCCAGGGGCGCUGAGCUACUGAGCUACAUUCCCAGCCCUUAUUUAUUUAUUUAUUUAUUUAUUUUUAAUUUUGAGACAGGGUCUUACUAAAUUGCUGAGGCUUGCUCAGCCUCCAGAGCUGCUGGGAUUAGGUAUGUGCCACCACACCCAGCUGCUACAUUCUUAUAUGUGUGUGUGUGUUUUAAAAUUAGAUUAAGAACACCUUUGCUUUCAUAAUCAGUCCAUCACAAAAAGAUGGAGAAAAGAGAUCACUCUUCCCUGCUUUGCAUGAUGGAGUGCCAGGCACUUAGAAAACAUAUCAUUCUCCCAGCUGUCUAAAAAGUAGGAUUUUUCAGGCUGGGGUUUUAGCUCAGUGGUGGAGGGCUGCCUCACAUAUGUGAGGUACUGGGUUUGAGCCUCAGCACCAAUAUAAAUAAAUGAAUAAAUAAAAGUAUUGUGUCAAUCUACAACUAAAAAAAAUUUAAAAACUAGGGAUUUUCACAACCCAUUUGCAGAGGAGGAAACUAAUAAAGAGAGAGGUAAAGUAAAUUUGCAUACAGCUGAAGUUAAGUAAAGGUGCCACAGCUAGUCAGUGGCUGGACUGCAAUCAGAGCCAACUCCUGCCUGGCUGCAAAGUUCAUGUUUCAUGAAGCUCUUCCAAUUCCAUGGACCCGGGUGCAGUUGGCUCUGAGCACUGUGCUUGCUGCCCCAUGGGUUAAUUCUUUGUUUUCCUGAAGUUUUCUCUGGUGGGUUGGCUCCAGGCACUUUCAUGAUGGUCUUUGACUUGGACCUCUCUGUCCUGGGACCUUUCUGUAUCUCCAAGUCCAUGGGCAUCAGGCAAAGGGAUCAUGCAGAUGAAAAUCAUCUGAGAAAAGACAUGAAUGAAAUUCACACCUCCCAUUGCAGACUCUGGGUCUGAACAUUCACCCCUGUUUUUCCUUGGCCCAUCAACUUGUCUCUUCAGCUGUGUUCACCACAGUCUCUGAUGUCUGGGGUGCACUUUCCGGUUGUCCAUGGGAACAACAAGAGCUGGAGGAAGCAGUAGGGCCGGGGGCUGGGAGAAUAACGAAAUGAGAGGCUUAGGGAUUGCAAAGGCCUGGGGGAGACCAAGAGCCCCAGGCCUCAGCUCAGGUGCUUUUUAUUUUAAUAACAACAACUACCAGACCAGGCACAGUGGUGCAUACCUGUAAUCCUAGAGACUCAGGAGGCUGAGGCAAGAGGAUCCCAAGUUUGAAGCCAGCCUUAGCAACUUUAGCAAAACCCAAAAUAAAAAAUGAAAAGGGCUGGGGGUGUGGCUCAGUGGUAAAGCACCCUUUGGGUUCAAUCCCCAGUACCAAAAAAAUAAAACCAUGUGCUUUGUGCCUGGCAUUGUUUGAAGUGCUGUCCUCGUUUAAUCUCUUCACAAGUAUCUUCAAUAUGCACUCCUAGAUAGGGUCCUAGGAGAUGGGCACUCUGAUUACCUCCAUUUUAUAGUCCUGGAAUUGAGGCAAAGAGAGGAUAAGUAGUUUGCCCAAGGUCACACAUCUGGAAGGAAGGUGCUGGCAUUAAAAUCCAAGUUACUUUAAUCCCAGAGUUAAUAAUACGUCUAUUGCAGGAAGGGAGGGAGGGCAGUGGACAAGGGUUUUGCAGCCUUACAGCACAAACACCAAGGCCCCGAGAGGCUGUGUGCAGGCAGGCACUGUGCAGGUGCGUGUAUUUGGAGUCGGCAGAGUUGGUUGACGUUGCAGAUCCUCCCACCUCCUGGCCACAUAACCUUGGCAAGCAACCUCAUCCAGAAGUGCUCAUUUCCUCAUCUACGGAGCAGGAAUAAUAAUUCUUUUCUCCUUGGUGUCGCUGUGAAGAUGAAGUGCAAUCAUCUUUGCCAAGCUGGCACAUAAUCAGAGCUCAUGAGGGUUCACUGUUAGUAUCAUUAUUACUGAUACUGUGCAGAUAGAUUGUAUUAACACACCAUAAUUGCUACAUAGGAACCUGGAAACUCCAAGCCCCGUCUUAGCAACACAGUGCCACUAGUCUCAAAAUAAAGCAAAAAUAAAAAUGAAAACUUCAUGUUGUCAAAGAGAAGGGACUAUGAAAACAGGUAUUAAAGGACCCCAAGAAAUUAGGGAUAUUUUCCUCAAUGCUUCCUCAUUUUUUGGUAAAUGUUUCUAAAUGGAAUAAAUAAAGCAUACAUGGAUACUCAACAAUAGUUCUUUGGAUAUGUGAAUGCAAAACACUCUAACUUGUUUUAUUGGUUUAUUCCAUGGCUUAAAAAUCAUACUUUGUGGUGUGGACAUUCUGCCCAAGAGUUCAAAUGGCAGGCUUGUAACCUGUAACACUGCAACAUUAACUCGAUAAAUGCAGAAUUUACUUUUAGGGAUCUGAGAAAAUUUGCAUUUAAGAAAUUGGCUUUGUGGGCUAGAGCUGAGGCUCAGUGAUAGAACUCUUGCCUAGCAACUGUGAGGCACUGAGUUUGAUCCUCAGUAAAUAAAUAAAAUAAAGGUUAAAAAAUGGCUUUGUAUUUUAUGACUGUUGCACCUGGAUAUAUAAAAUGGAUUUAAAAUAUUAUAUGUUUAUAAUUUUAUCAAUGCCAGGAGGAUCUUCCCCAUCAAAAAAAAGGUGUCCAUGACAUACAACUUCCUGGCUUUUUGUCACAAGUGGGUGCGUUGGCAUUUGCAUUUUGUGGCUACAACGGGAGAAAUCUCUAUAACUGGUGGUGAUUUUUGUUGUGAUUUGUGUCUACUGGAGCUUCUGGAAAGAAAGGGAGCACAUGAAAGAGAGCCAGUUUCUGGAUGGAAACCCACAUUUGGCUUUGAAAAGGCAGUUAAGCCGCUAAUGAGCCCUUGUUGGAAUCUCAAGUCUGACCCUUGGAGGCUGAUGAUUUCCUAGGCUGAUGCGCCUGUUUUUGAAUGGGUCAAUCUGGACUCUUAAGACUGUCGAGAAAGGAAGCUGUGCUUGUCAUCUGGCCCUGGACCACAGCUGUCUGGCCCUGCAGCCUGCCCAUGCUGCAGCUGAGGAAAAGCAGGGGUUGGCCUGGAACCCCGACUUCACACAUCCUCACCGCCUGGACCAGGCUCCAGCCCGACACCUGCUGCCUUCUGUAGUGUGGAGUUCAGCCCCAGCUGGAGCCAGGCUGCCUGGAAGCAGAAGCAGGCCUAGAGUCUGGAACCCCCUCCUUCGCACAGGGAGUUUGCACCCAGUUUCCUCUGGACUUGGGCCUGCACCUUUUCCUUUUCUGAUUUGCUUCAUUCCCUUCCUCUGUUAUAUGCCAUAGCCAUGUCUGUUCUCGGAGCCCUGCGGCUCUCUCCACGUGGGCCAUCAACUGGAAGGUGGUGUUGGGGACUCCACACAGUGCAUCAGGGGCACUUCUGGGGUCUUGUAGCAUUUUCUUUUUCAAUCUGGGUACUGUUUGCUGAGGGCAUUUGAGUUUGUGAUUAUUCACCUAGCUGUUGAAUUAUGACAAUGUUUUUUUUUUCCCUGUAAAUAUACUAAAUUUCAGUGAAAAUUUUCAAAUAAAUAUUACACACCAAGGG
rnacentral:lncRNA from 1 species